GAGUUUGAUCAUGGCUCAGGAUGAACGCUGGCGGCGUGCCUAACACAUGCAAGUCGAACGGAGGUUAGAGAACGGAGAACUUGUUCAAAGUUUUCGAAGCCUUAGUGGCGGACGGGUGAGUAACACGUGAGCAACCUACCUUUAACUGGGGAAUAACAUUGGGAAACCAGUGCUAAUACCGCAUAAUGUCCUUAGAGGGCAUCCUCUGGGGACCAAAGGAGCAAUCCGGUUUUAGAUGGGCUCGCGUCCGAUUAGUUAGUUGGUGAGGUAACGGCUCACCAAGACCGCGAUCGGUAGCCGGACUGAGAGGUUGAACGGCCACAUUGGGACUGAGACACGGCCCAGACUCCUACGGGAGGCAGCAGUGGGGAAUAUUGGGCAAUGGGCGAAAGCCUGACCCAGCAANCGCCGCGUGAAGGAUGAAGGUCUUCGGAUUGUAAACUUCUUUGGAGAGGGACGAAACAAAUGACGNACNUC
rnacentral:rRNA from 1 species